GAACCAUGUAGCAGCACAGGUGUUCGGAGGACCGAUUUCAGGUGUGCACAUAAACUAAAGAGUUUUCAAACAAGACUUUCCCUGGGACAGCGGCGCUUUUCAGUUGAAGAUACACGAGAGGAGAGACUGAAAAAAGACCAGCAAGGAGGAUGUAACAAAAUACACUGCAAGAACUGGAAUGAGAGACAAGUGAGGAUGAAGAGGACAACAGAAUAUCCAUCCUUUCUUCACCACCUUACAGAGUUUGAGUGAAACAACUUGUAUUAGGACUCACAGGAUUAUUUUAUAACAAGACUGAUUAUCUUAUACCAGAAGUAUGGUAUUUUUUUGAAGCUACUGUAUUAUUUCUUAUGACAAUUCAUUUUGAUGUGCAUUCAGAACUGUAAGUUGGUAAGUACAUUUACUGUAUUUACUGUAAGUAAAGGCUAAAGAGUAUAUCUCCUCUAGUUCUAAUUUCUAGUUCUAAGUUUUAACAACGUUCCCAAAGGUCCCAAUAAUGUUAAGCCAACAUAAAAGUGUCCAGUUUUUAAAUUGUUUAGGAAUGU